rnacentral:rRNA from 1 species
GGUUAAGCGACUAAGCGUACACGGUGGAUGCCCUGGCAGUCAGAGGCGAUGAAGGACGUGCUAAUCUGCGAAAAGCGUCGGUAAGGUGAUAUGAACCGUUAUAGCCGGCGAUGUCCGAAUGGG